CAGCUGAACUCAGGACCACAACAGAGCCUGAGACUCCAGAUGUGAAGAAACUCAGUCUCCUGAAUUUGAGGGGAAAUAAAAAGGAUUUUAGAGAUCUUCUUUGAAGUUAAAGACUUGCAUUACAGAUCCGGCCCUGACACUAAUAAGGUUAUAAUAAAGAACAACGAAAGACAGGCUGAUGGAAGCAUGCCUAUAUAUUCAAUGCAAUCCCUAUCUAAUUACCUGUGACAUUUUUUACAGAACUAAAACAAAUAAACCAAAACUUUAUAUGGAACCACAAAGACCCAAAAUUGCCAAACAUUUCUGAGGAACAAAAACCAAGCAGGAGGCAUAACUCUCCCAGACUUCAGGCAAUAUUACAAAGCCUCAUUCAUCAAGACACUGUGGCAUUUUUACCAAAACCGACAGACCAAUGGAACAGAAGAGAGAACCCAGAAAUAAACCAGACACCUUUGGUCAAUUAAUCUAUGACAAGGAGGCAAGAACAUAAAAUGGGGAAAAGAGAGUCUUUCCUCCUCUGUAAUAUGGUCUAAACUGAACUGCCUGGUGAUCCCAUGGACAAUAACUGAUUCAUCACAUCAAUGACAUUGUGCUGAUCUCACAGCAUGAGCAAGAAGAGAGUUCAUUGGCAGCCUUGAAAUUUUAUACUUUCUCAGUGGCAUAUAUGAUCCAUUUCAGUUUUGCGUAUAGUGUGCAGUAAAGUACAAUACUGAAUAGAAAUUUGAGAGCCUGUGAAAGAGACCUUGAGCCCACAAGAAGAUAGACUGAUGGCCAGCGAUCCCUCCACUGCUUCAAUUUCCCCACACUGUCUUGUUUCACCAACUAUGUUACUGUAACAAAAUGAAUGACUCUGAGACAGAACUGUCCAGCUAUAUUCAUGAAUUCUUGAUUCAGAGAAAUUAUGAAAGAUAACAAAAUGCUGUUGUUUGAAGAGUUUAAGUUUUGAGAUGAUUUGUUACUCACUAAUAGAGUGGGAAAAAUAAUGUCUUAACAAAUAUCUAAAAUUUUUGGUAUAGAUUCUGGAGUCAAGAGACAGACAAAAUUAGGAAUGGUAUUGAGAUACUCAAAAUUAAAUAAUAAAGCUUCUCAAAAAGAGACAGAAAAUAACCCUGAAAUUUUCAGUGAGAUGUGAAGGAAUGCAUGGAAAAUGUGAAAGCUGGUAGACCUUAAUAGCACUGGAAAUUUGACACCACUGUCAACUGUAGUAAAAGCAGAAAUUAGAAAAAGCUAUCAAAUUUGAUGAUGUGGCUAAGAAUAUUUCUAGGCAGAAUAUCAAAAUCUCCACAGUAGCCUCUUCUUGCUCCAUAGAAAAAAUUCAAGAGCAAAAAAUGAACUAAAGAAUAAACUUUUAUUUAUUUAUUUAUUUUGGCCAUGCCUGCGGCAUGUGGAAGUUCUUGGGUCAGGGAUUGAACCCCUACCAUACCAGUGACCCAAGCUGCUGCCGAAAGCAACAGAUCCUUAACCUGAUGUUCCACAAGAGAAUUCCAAGAAUAAACUUUCCAAUUAAAAAAUUCUUAAUUCCCUGUAUUUUAAAAUAAAACUGUUUUCAAUCCUAUAUCUACAUCUUAAAAAACAAAUGGACAAUAAGAAAGACAACCGCAAAACAUUCUCACAUUAGUAAGUGCUUUGGCGGAAACUUUAAAUCCAAUUUGUGCCUGUAAGAUCCUUCAUUAAGUCCUUAUAGAGAAUUGAAGUAGAGUUAUUAAAAAUCCUUUUCCAAAUAGAGAAAAGAUCUUCCAAGCAUCUAACAAAUACCUUACAUACCCUAUAUGUUAAACCAGUUAAGAGCUAACUGUUUUGUCCUACAGCAGACUCUUAGCCCAAAGUGGAGAGGAGCUUAUCUGAAGAUACUUGUUGUAUGUGCAUUUUUCUAAUAGAGUGGUUUAUAUAUCAACACUUAAGAAAUCCACAUAAUUUUUAAAGGAUUUACCAACUUAGACUGAAAAUGGCAAGAAGAGUGAAAAAUGAAAAAAGGACUUUGGUUCCUUAAAAUAUUUACUAUAUGAAGGAAGCAAGCUGAGAAAAGUGCAUGGGUACAAACACUGCCUGCUUUCUACAAGAAAUAAUAAUUCAGAGGGCAAAACAAAUAGCCAAAAAUGCAGAGCCAAGAGUCCUCAAAAAUAACCAUAUGAAGGAACUGGCACAUGUUUCCAGUAGGAUUUUAGAACUGGUGUGGAUAUGUGUUUCCUCUAUGCUCUUUUCUUCCUUCUUUUGUGAACAGGUGAAUGUAUGGUGGAUUUUCUAUUUCUGUCUUACAGUUAUAUAUUGAAGGUGAUACUAAAAGGUGUGUAAUUUGUCUCAUUAACCACAUGUCUUAAGAUUUAGAGGAAUAAUAUUGAGUUAUAUACCAAGGAGAUUCACCUGAGGGUACUCAUUUGAAUCAUAACGUGAUUUAGCUAUGGAGCCCCCAAACCUCAAAUUGAUGCUAUAAUAAGAAAAUACUCAGGAGUCUUAGAAUAUGGUGUGAGUAUAUUUUCAUGUAAGAUGAUGUCACUCUGAGAAGACAGACCAGCAGAUUAUAUAUUUUAACAUGACCAUAGAUAUAUUUCUUCUUAUAUGGCACUUGGGCAUUUUUCCCUUCAGGUGAUAGUGUUUAUAUUUUAUAUCCCCUGACCUUGAUUCUGGGAAGACUGGAGCCUAUAGUGGAAGUGACUUUAUAGUGGAAGUGCUUGUCUGAACUAGGUAAUAACAAUGAUGCAACUUCUCUCUGGCAGCCUAGAACAAUCAUGCUGGAACUUUAUGCUGUUUUCUAAGCCAACUGAUUAUACCAAGGCUUCCCUCUUGUAAGGACACCCAGGCUAGUUCAGACAGAGAGGUUACAUGGAGAGACCUAAGUAAGACUAUAUGAAGAGAAAGAGAUGCAGUCAUUCCCUAGGUUCUUCAACGCACCUCCACCCUAGCCCCACUAUUUCAUCUCCAAUCUCUGUCUGACUGUGACCACAUGAGUUGUCCCAAACCAGUACCACAAAUCAAGUCCUUCUUGAAUUCUUAAAACUGGGAGAUAAUAAAUAUUUGCGGUUAUUUUUAAAGCGUUAGAUUUGGGCAAUUAUAUAGAUUUAGAUAACAAACAUUUUAACCAGUAAGAUUUUUAUUUCAGAUAUUUUGUUGUUAUUUCUUCAAGUCAAAUAAAACUUGAAGAAAUAAAAACUAUUUCUCUCAUUAUGUUCAUGUUAUUCAUUGUAUCCCUGAGUAUGUUUAUAAGAGCUAUUUUAAUAUCUUUUGACCUCUUUCCACUGUUUAUGCAACAGUUUCUACGGACUGAUUUUUCUCCUGGUUAUGAGUCAGAUUUUUACACUUUUCUGUAAAAUUACUUCUUACUGGGUAUCAGAUAUUGCAAGUUUUAUUUCUGAGGGUUGCUUCUUUGUCUUUGGAAGACUGUUAAAUUUUUUUUGGCCAGUAGUUAAUUUAUGUGUAGAUUAAUUUGUUAACCUUCAGAGGUCUCUCUUGAAUACCCAGAUGUUUUAUAAUUUCUACACACUCUGGAAAGUGAGAUUUUAAACACCUCUUAUCCAUACAUGUAACCACAUAGGAAUUAUUCAGCACCACUCACUCCACCCUAGAAGUGGUUUUCUACUCAGGCCCUAAUAGUUUCACUCUAUCCAUCUCAUGACUAUAUUUUCAAAGAAAGCUUUAUGAAGAUUUACAGAACUCUUACACUUAGCUCCCUUCUACCCUGAACAUUGCACCUCAAAUUCUAGUCCCCUUUCUAUGUGUAAAAAUAAAGGUUGCUAUGAUCUGUUUCUUCUACGCCUUCCUGAAUCACAGUUUGUAAGUUGCUUCCAGAAGAAAGGUGAGCUUAUUGUAGGACUCAGGUUACUUUGUUUUUUUUUGUUUUCUUUUUCUUAGGCAUGACAGUCCUAUGAUGCCUAUUUUCUAAUGUCUAAAAAUAUGUUUAAUAUUUUUUUCCCUACUUAUUCUUUUUGUAUUACAGGAAGUCCAGUUAUUCCAUCAAAGUUGGAAGUGACAGUCUCAAGUCUCCAUGAUCCUAAAUUUAAAAGUAUAUCUAUAGGGAGUUCCUGCAAUGGCUCAGAAGAUUGCAAACCCAACUAGUAUCCAUGACGAUGUGUAUUCGAUCCCUGGCCUCUCUCUGUGGGUUAAGGAUCUAGGAUUGCCAUUAGCUGUGGUGCAGGUUGCAGACACAGCUCAAAUCCUGUGCUGCUGUGGCUGUAAAGUAGGCUGGCAGCUAUAGCUCUGAUUCUACCCCUAGCCUGGGAACUUCCAUAUGCCAUGGGUAUUGCC
rnacentral:lncRNA from 9 species